GUACCAGUGGUCUAGUGGUAGAAUAGAACCCUGCCACGGUACGGACCCGGGUUCGAUUCUCUGGCUGGUGCA
rfam:Ipomoea nil DNA, scaffold: scaffold0788, cultivar: Tokyo-kokei standard.